rnacentral:rRNA from 1 species
AGUGAACGCUGGCGGCAGGCCUAACACAUGCAAGUCGAGCGGAUGCACGGAGCUUGCUCCUGGAUACAGCGGCGGACGGGUGAGUAAUGCCUAGGAAUAUGCCUAUUUGUGUUGGAUAACGUCCGGACACGGGCGCUAAUACCGCAUUAGUCCUGAGGGCGUACGUGGGGGAUCUUCGGACCUCCCGCCAUCAGAUGAGCCUAGGUCCGAUUAGCUAGUUGGUGGGGUAACGGCCUACCAGGCCGGCGAUCCGUAACUGGUCUGAGGGGAUGAUCAGUCAAACUGGAACUAAGAAACGGUCCAAACCCCAAGGGGAGGCAGAGGUGGGGAUUAUUGGCCAAUGGGCGAAAGCUUGACCCAGCCAUGCCGCGUGUGUGAAGAAGCUCUUCGGUUUGUAAAGCACUUUAAGGUGAGAGGAAGGGAAGUAAGUUAAUACCCGGCUGUUUUGACGUUCCCAAAAGAAAAGCACCGGCUAACUUCGUG